AACUUUUGGCAACGGAUUUCUUGGCUCUGGCAUCGAUGAAGAACGCAGCGAAAUGCGAUAAGUAAUGUGAAUUGCAGAAUUCAGUGAAUCAUCGAAUCUUUGAACGCACAUUGCGCCCGUUAGCAUUCUAGCGGGCAUGCCUGUCCGAGCGUCAUUUCAACCCUCAGGGUCCCCGUUUCGGCGGGGAACCUGGUGUUGGGGAUCGGCCCGCCCCGCGCGGCGCCGUCCCCCAAAUCUAGUGGCGGUCUCGCUGCAGCCUCCCCUGCGUAGUAGUUUACAACCUCGCACCGGAGCGCGGCGCGGCCACGCCGUAAAACCCCCGACUUUCUGAACGUUGACCUCGGAUCAGGUAGGAAUACCCGCUGAACUUAAGCAUAUCAAUAAGCGGAGGCU
rnacentral:misc_RNA from 1 species